rnacentral:rRNA from 1 species
CGUGUAGGCGGUUUGGUAAGUCUGAUGUGAAAGCCCUGGGCUCAACCCGGGAAGUGCAUUGGAAACUGUCAGACUUGAAUACGGGAGAGGGCAGUGGAAUUCCUGGUGUAGGAGUGAAAUCCGUAGAUAUCAGGAGGAACACCGGUGGCGAAGGCGGCUGCCUGGACCGAUAUUGACGCUGAGACGCGAAAGCGUGGGUAGCAAACAGGAUUAGAUACCCUGGUAGUCCACGCCGUAAACGAUGAGUACUAGGUGUUGCGGGUAUUGACCCCUGCAGUGCCGCAGCUAACGCAUUAAGUACUCCGCCUGGGAAGUACGGUCGCAAGACUAAA